rnacentral:rRNA from 1 species
UACGUAGGCAGCGAGCGUUGUUCGGAAUUACUGGGCGUAAAGAGUGUGUAGGCGGUGCUCCCAGUCUAUUGUGAAAUCUCCCGGCUUAACUGGGAGGGUGCAGCGGAAACUAGAGUGCUAGAGGGUGGGAGAGGUAAGCGGAAUUCCUGGUGUAGCGGUGAAAUGCGUAGAUAUCAGGAGGAACACCUGUGGUGUAGACAGCUUACUGGACCACUUCUGACGCUGAGACACGAAAGCGUGGGUAGCAAACAGG